rnacentral:ncRNA from 1 species
AAAUGAGAUUCGGGGUGCCUGAAGGCUGAGAUUAAUACCCGCUGUACCUGAUCAACGUUAUGGUUGCGUAGGAAAAUCUAAAGAGACGGUA